AUUGAACGCUGGCGGCAGGCCUAACACAUGCCAGUCGAGCGGAUGAAGGGAGCUUGCUCCUGGAUUCAGCGGCGGACGGGUGAGUAAUGCCUAGGAAUCUGCCUGGUAGAGGUUGAUAACGUCCGUAAACGGGCGCUAAUACCGCAUACGUCCUGAGGGAGAAAGUGGGGGAUCUUCGGACCUCACGCUAUCAGAUGAGCCUAGGUCGGAUUAGCUAGUUGGUGGGGUAAAGGCCUACCAAGGCGACGAUCCGUAACUGGUCUGAGAGGAUGAUCAGUCACACUGGAACUGAGACACGGUCCAGACUACUACGGGAGGCAGCAGUGGGGAAUAUUGGACAAUGGGCGAAAGCCUGAUCCAGCCAUGCCGCGUGUGUGAAGAAGGACUUCGGAUUGUAAAGCACUUUAAGUUGGGAGGAAGGGCAGUAAGUUAAUACCUUGCUGUUUUGACGUUACCAACAGAAUAAGCACCGGCUAACUUCGUG
rnacentral:rRNA from 1 species